GCCCAGGUAGCUCAGUUGGCUAGAGCAUUUCGCUGAAGACGAAGGGGUCGCCGGUUCGAGCCCGGCCCUGGGCA
rnacentral:tRNA from 2 species